rnacentral:snRNA from 1 species
GGAUGUGAGGGUGAUCUGGCUGCGACAUCUGUCACCCCAUUGAUCUUCAGGGUUGAUUCGGCUGAUCUGGCUGGCUAGGCGGGUGUCCCCUUCCUCCCUCACCGAUCCAUGUGCGUCCCUCCCUGAAGCUGCGCGCUCGGUAGAAGAGGACAUAGAGACGGACUGGUCUUGGUUCCAGAGUAUACAAGUAGCUGCACUCCCCUGCUAGCACCUCCAAACAAGCUCUCAGGGUCCUAAGUAUUACCUAUAUCUAUUGCUGCUUUGAGUGUCUUU